rnacentral:rRNA from 1 species
UACGUAGGGAGCAAGCGUUGUUCGGAUUUACUGGGCGUAAAGGGCGCGUAGGCGACGCGGUAAGUCACUUGUGAAAUCUCUGAGCUUAACUCAGAACGGCCAAGUGAUACUGCAGUGCUAGAGUGCAGAAGGGGCAAUCGGAAUUCUUGGUGUAGCGGUGAAAUGCGUAGAUAUCAAGAGGAACACCUGAGGUGAAGACGGGUUGCUGGGCUGACACUGACGCUGAGGCGCGAAAGCCAGGGGAGCAAACGGG